AUUGAACGCUGGCGGCAUGCCUUACACAUGCAAGUCGAACGGUAACAGGUUAAGCUGACGAGUGGCGAACGGGUGAGUAAUAUAUCGGAACGUGCCCAGUCGUGGGGGAUAACGUAGCGAAAGCUACGCUAAUACCGCAUACGAUAUACGGCUGAAAGCGGGGGAUCGCAAGACCCCGCGCGAUUGGAGCGGCCGAUAUCAGAUUAGGUUGUUGGUGAGGUAAAAGCUCACCAAGCCUGCGAUCUGUAGCUGGUCUGAGAGGACGACCAGCCACACUGGAACUGAGACACGGUCCAGACUCCUACGGGAGGCAGCAGUGGGGAAUUUUGGACAAUGGACGCAAGUCUGAUCCAGCAAUGCCGCGUGCAGGACGAAGGCCUUCGGGUUGUAAACUGCUUUUGUACGGAACGAAACGGUGAGCUCUAAUACAGUUUGCUAAUGACGGUACCGUAAGAAUAAGCACCGGCUAACUACGUGCCAGCAGCCGCGGUAA
rnacentral:rRNA from 1 species